rnacentral:misc_RNA from 1 species
GAUGAAGAACGUAGCGAAAUGCGAUACGUAAUGUGAAUUGCAGAAUUCAGUGAAUCAUCGAAUCUUUGAACGCACAUUGCGCCCGCCAGCAUUCUGGCGGGCAUGCCUGUCCGAGCGUCAUUUCAACCCUCAGGGUCCCCCCGCCUCGCGCGGUCGGAGCCUGGUGUUGGGGCUCGGCCCGCCCCGCGCGGCGCCGUCCCCCAAAUACAGUGGCGGUCCCGCCGCAGCCUCCCCUGCGCAGUAGUUAUCAACUCGCACUGGAGCGCGGCGCGGCCACGCCGUAAAACCCCCGACUUUCAGAAAGUUGACCUCGGAUCAGGUAGGAAUACCCGCUGAACUUAAGCAUAUCAAUAAGCGGAGGA